UCUCGUGCAAGAGGAAGAAAGAGGAGACACCAUCACUCCAGCAGCUCCCUCUCGAGAGGGAGGAAGAAAGAAGGGGAAAGAGGAACGCCCUUCGCAUUCCCCACGCGCUAAAUAGCAAGGAGGGGAUGGCUUCGUCUCUUCCGAUUCCCCUCUGCGACUCCGAUUCUUGUCCCUAUGAAGUCCUCCUCCUCCUGAGAAGAAUAAGGGUUCCUGUCACCCAAAAUCACCUUCCGGCAUCCGGAAGUCCAGCUCCAACCCGUCGGAAUCGCUGGAGCAGUAGCCGCCUGGGCCUGGGGUUCGUUGACCGCCGCCGGAUCCUUUUCCCGAUAGGGUUUCACCCACCUAGUUCACCACGGGUUUUGAUCUCGAGCCGGAGCAGGGUUCCCUACUGCUCCACCUGCUUCUCCGCCUCUCCCUUCUCCUUUUCACCCGGAUGCACCUCCUCAACAGGGUCCCUACUGCCCGUGCGAAGCUACUGCAACUGCGCGGCCGCUUCCUAAGCUUUGCUUCUCAUCUUUCAGGCCCUAAUCUGUCUCUGUAACGUCAAGAAGUGCGAGAUGAAUGGUUGGCGUUCCGUUUGUAAUGAGUGAUAAUUUUUUGAAGAGGCUAUUUAGUGCCUUCUACAAUCAAUUAGGUUAGGUCUUUCUACAUGAACUGCACAAAGUUACUGCCUUAAAUUGGAUGGCAGCAGGAGGCCACAAAGUUCAAUCUUUCUCUCUCUUGCAAAGGAGCUCGUGCGUUAUUCAGUAAUCAUAAUCAAGAACUCAGAAGUUUUGUAUGCUACUGAGUUCGCAAAACCUUUCUUGGUGGCAUUCUUCGUUUUCUGUGCUUGGUUUUUGAGUGAGUAUAUUAGUAUUCGUGUUUUU